UUUAGUUACACGCCUUCCUUUUAAUGCAAGUCAGUAAGCAGAAUCUGGGAAGCCAGAAAUUUAAGGAAGGAAGUGGAAGGAAGCAGCACAAAAGCUGAAGUUUUAAUUGCUGCAAUAAAUAUGUGGACCACUUUCAGAGUGUGCAGUUCAUAAUUAUUUUUUAUGGUGUAUUCUCCAGACAGAGCAGAUCUCCGUGGGGCAUCAGGUUGUUAAGUCUUUUGGGCGAGAAGUCUCUCUUGGCAAAGUGUUUAUAUGACUGGCAUUUGUGUCUUCUGGGGUUGCCAUAUUACACCUAAACAAGUCUCAUGUCACUUAGCUGACAACCCGGCAGGUUUGGGACAUCACCGCAGUGCUGGCAGAUGUGACGUGACCUCUGAGAGUCCUGUGCUCUUGAAAUGGCAGGUAAGAAUUAGGAAGCAUUCCUAG
rnacentral:lncRNA from 1 species